AAGUCGUAACAAGGUUUCCGUAGGUGAACCUGCGGAAGGAUCAUUACAAAUCCACCGAGAGAAGAGCGGAGUGCGCGGGGUGAAGCGAAACGAGGACGCGCGCGCGCAUAUGCGCACGGAUCCGCCGUCGAGCCCACACCACGCCACGCUCUCUCACACAAACCACGUUUAAAUGUUCUCUCAGAGAGAGGGGAGGGGAGGAGAGGAAAGGGGGAGAGAGAAAGGGUGGAGAGAGGUGGGUGGUGUCACAUCAUCAUCACCCUCUCUUGCUUGCUCACUCGCUCGCCCCCUCCUCGCUCGCCUCUCUCUUUUACAACACACUAGUACGAUCUCGUUGCUUCAGUUGUUAUAUACAUACACAAUGUAUCAAACACGAAACAACUUAUAACAAUGGAUCUCUAGGCUCUU
rnacentral:misc_RNA from 1 species